UGAGGGGAGUGAGGUUCCGCUGGCCGAUAGAGAGAAAAGUAAAUAAAUAAAUCAACGAUCUACGCUCCUGGCCAAGAAACGGAAACUCCUGUGGUGUUCUCACGGAAUUUAUGUGGAAUUGACAUCGAAUUCACGUGGAAUACCCGUGACAAUCCAACCCUCUGGGGCCUUUGGCAAUAGCUGGGGAUAUUUAUCCCAGGAUUUAUCCUCCCAGGAUGAGGAGGGAGAACAACCACCCACAGGGAUGCUGUGGAUGCUUCCCAGCCUGCUCCUGCCACGCUCCCAACUCCGGGGUUUCCAUUAAAAAUCGGGAGUUUGUAAUCUCAGCCUGCUCCUGCCACGCUCCCAACUCCGGGGUUUCCAUUAAAAAUCAGGAGUUUGUAAUCUCAGCCUGCUCCUGCCACGCUCCCAACUCUGAGGUUUCCACUCAAACUCGAGGAUUUCUCAUCUCAGCCACCUGCAGGAACAGGAAUUGUUCCAAAGCAAAUCCCUCAGCAAAUGUCACAGGAGAAACCCUCUGGGAAUGUUAUUUCAGUGAAAAAGGGAUGUGUCCAAGCCUCCAGCUGGAAUUUUCACCACCUCCUGUUUUGUCACUGCUCCUCCCUCCUAGAGCAGCAUCAAAUAAUUGAGUUGGAUAAAAUAAAACCUGGGACCAAAAUCUGCUUUCAUUCUCUUUGGGAAAAAGCU